GACGAACGCUGGCGGCGUGCUUAACACAUGCAAGUCGAACGGAAAGGCCCUGCUUGCAGGGUACUCGAGUGGCGAACGGGUGAGUACACGUGGGUGAUCUGCCCUGCACUUCGGGAUAAGCCUGGGAAACUGGGUCUAAUACCGGAUAGGAGCCAUUUUUAGUGUGAUGGUUGGAAAGUUUUUUCGGUGUAGGAUGAGCUCGCGGCCUAUCAGCUUGUUGGUGGGGUAAUGGCCUACCAAGGCGGCGACGGGUAGCCGGCCUGAGAGGGUGGACGGCCACAUUGGGACUGAGAUACGGCCCAGACUCCUACGGGAGGCAGCAGUGGGGAAUAUUGCACAAUGGGCGCAAGCCUGAUGCAGCGACGCCGCGUGGGGGAUGACGGCCUUCGGGUUGGAAACUCCUUUCGCUAGGGACGAAGCUUUUUGUGACGGUACCUAGAUAAGAAGCACCGGCUAACUACGUG
rnacentral:rRNA from 1 species